UACGAAGGGUGCAAACGUUGCUCGGAAUUAUUGGGCGUAAAGAGCCCGUAGGCGGUUUGUUGCGUCGGCUGUGAAAUCCCGAGGCUCAACCUCGGGUCUGCAGUCGAUACGAGCAAACUAGAGUGUUGCAGGGGAGACUGGAAUUCCUGGUGUAGCGGUGAAAUGCGCAGAUAUCAGGAGGAACACCGGUGGCGAAGGCGGGUCUCUGGGCAACAACUGACGCUGAGGAGCGAAAGCGUGGGGAGCGAACAGG
rnacentral:rRNA from 1 species